CGAGAGGAAAACGCGCCUCUCGCGAGAAGAACCCCGCGGCGAGCCCGCGCAAAAGUGGGUGGGCGUUUAAAAAGGGAAAGAAGGAACAGGAAAAAAAGCCUCCCCACGUGCUCCGGAGCAGCUAGCGGAGCAGGCCCGCCGGUCACAUGACCUAGAGGCGGCCUUUCCAUUGGCCAGGACCUGCUCAGCCGUGGGAGCUUUAAAUUCGAGGCUGACCUACGAACCUGCGGCGGACGUCUUGCGCGCUUCCUGGUCCGUUGCCUUGGAAACGGCUUAACCCUUUCCUCUGGCAAGUCCCCAGGCCUUGGCUUGCUCCGCAGGUUUUUAAAAAAAUAUCUCUUCCUUGAAAAGAAUGGGUCUUAAAGAGGCCAAAGCAGAAGCACGGGAGAUUCGGCGACACGUACCCCAGAUGGCCAGAGAUCUGCAAUGUCAGAAGAGUUCCGGGAACCUGGCAGCUCCUAUUUGGUUUCAUAGGAAAGUGUUUACAGGAGCAGGAUGGCACUUAGGGCAUCCGAAAUUAGUCCUGAGACAACUCUACAUUUCCUGAAGAUGUGCCCAAGUGUCCAGCUUAAAAGCAAGGCCAAACCCUAGAGGAAUACACCAACGCUUGCUACCUAAAUCUUCCUGGAGAAUGACUUUCAAUCUGGAAAGGACAGACCAAGAAAAGGGACGGAAGCCCUAUACAGCUGAACCAAGAGUAAAGAAAAAUAAUUUAAUUCUUAAGAAUUAUACGAUGGAUAUCUAAGGUAUAAAGAAACCUGCAAAUGUUACCUCUGCACUACUCUCAGCAACCUCGAGAAAUCAUGAAGAAUGAGCUCUUUUUCGGAAGAACAGAGAUGGAUAAAGGCUAUUCUAACUUUCAAAGAAAGGGAAAGAGGUAAAUCAACUUCAGAUUAACAUUUCUAACUGCCUGUGGAAUCUCGUACGUAUUUUUAAUGUAAUUUAAAUUCUCAAGUCCCACAUGGAACCUAUCAUUUUCCUUCUAAUACCUACUGCUCUUCCUGACCCUAAGGCCCCAUCGAAGGCACCACAAUCGUCCAGCCAUUCACUAGAACAUGAAGGCCAUCCUGUCUCCUAAUUCAUGCCCAUUUACCAAUUUUAAAUCCUCAACUGUCUUUAAUCUCGCUUGUCCUUUCUGUCUCUACUGCUUUAGUCUAUCAUUUUUUUAUCAGGACAAUUCCUACAGCGUUCUCAGUGUUCACCUUGCCCUAGCUUUGCCGUCUUCCAAAAAAAACCCCUCCACACUACUUCUAGAACAGCCCAAUGAAGAUCUGUUCCUCUUCACCUCUUCAUCUACAUUCCCCACACUCUUGCAUAUACCAGGCCAACCUUUCAGUCACCCCACACUCUGAGAUUGCCUGAAAGCAGCAUGCACUCAUACUCCUCUGGGCCUCUUCCUAGGCUGGUUCCCAUGCUUAAAUUGCUUCUUUUCUUACUCUUCCCUCCAGACUUGGUUGAAAGGUCACUUCUUCCAGGCAGCCCUCCUUGACUGCCUCUGACCGCCUUUGUGUAUCUGGAGAGCCCACUGUGUGUCUCAUGUCAACACUUUGGCCACAUUUCUCCCUCCUACUAACCUGUGAGCCAAUUAAUUAGGUUUGCCACAUAAUCAUCUCGUAUCCCAGCCUAAAACAGUGCUUGGCCCACAGAAGAGGCCUGAAAAUUACAUAUGUUUGCAUAGUCAAUGAAUAAACUCUGAAAAUAGACAAGUGAGCCUGAUUUCAUCUGCAAAAUUUAAAAACAGAUGGGGAGCCAAACUAUGUUGACCAGAAGCAAGCCUAGACAACUUCUUUUUUAUGGUAAGAUUAUUUGGUUGGUUCACAGGAUGAGAACAUGGAAAGCAUUAUUUGGUUUUAAAAAAAAAAACACUGUGAAUUUGAGGCCACAGAACUUGUCUAUAGAAUCUAAAAGAGCUGUAUUUACCCUAAAACUAACAUCCCUGUGGAUAAGAAGCAAAGAUGUACAAUAAUGCAGCUGUGUGGGUUGAGCUGAGUAAAUACUCAUUUUCUCUUUCCUUUCUUCUGAGCUGCCCAGUGGUUUGCGGUUAUAAGACUUGAUUCUAAUUCUGAAUAUUGGUCCAGCAGUAGGGGGCGUAUGUCUUUUAUGUCUCUAACAUCUCAUACAUUCUAGUUACAUAAUAAACAUUUAAAAGGGAGAGUAAGGAAGGUGUGGGGAGCAGAUGGCAAAUAGUAGGGUAGAGGAAAGAUGUGAGUUAGCCCCUGAAACCACUGAGCUUUGCUUUGCUUCUUUACUUUUUCAACAUUUUUAUCGGGGACCAGAUGAAGGUAUGGGAAGAAUCUAAUAGUUACCGUGAACAGAGCACUCAAUACGCCAGAUGUGAUAUGUGAUAUCUUUUGGCUGUCCCCCCACCCAAAUCUCAUCUUGAAUUGUAGCUCCCAUGAUCCCCACAUGCUGUGGGAGAGACUGGUGGGAGGUAAUUGAAUCACGGGUGUGAGAUUUUUCUGUGUUGUUCUCAAGAUAGUAAGUCUCACAAGACCUGAUGGUUUAUAAAGGGCAGUUCCCUUGCACAUGCUCUCUUGCCUGCUGCCAUGUAAGAUGUGCCUUUGCUUCUCCUUUGCCUGCUGCCAUGAUUGUGAGGCCUCCCUAGACAUGUAUAACUGUGAGUCUAUUAAACCUCUUUUUUUUUUUUUCUUUUUUUGGAGAUGGAGUCUGUGUCAUCAAGGCUGCAGUACAGUGGUGUGAUCUUGGCUCACUGCAACUUCCACCACUCAAGUUCAAGUGAUUCUCCUGCCUCAGCCUUCCCAGGAGCUGGAACUGUGGGUGCCCACCAAUAUACUCAGCUAAUUUUUGUAUUUUUAGUAGAGAUGGGGUUUCAUCAUGUUGGCCAGGCUGGUCUCAAACUCCUGACCUCAAGUGAUCCACCUGCCUCAGUCUUCCAAAGUGUUGGGAUUACAGAAAUGAGCCACUGUGCCCAGGCUUAAACCCCUUUUUCUUUAUAAAUUACCUGGUCUCGGGUAGUUCUUCGUAGCCAUAUGAAAGUGGACUAAUACAAUGUACUUACAGCACCCAUUCCUAGAGUCUCAUUUAAUCCUCACACACCCUGGUGAAACAGCUCUUAGUAGCCCCGUUUGGUGGGUAAGACUCAGGAGAAGAGGAGGGAACACACCGGUCCAUGGUCCCUCCUCCCCUCUGAAGUUUUCCCUGGUCAUAGUGAUUUUUAUUUGUUUAACACUCACAGGACUUCUUUUUUAAUCUCCUUUCUGUCUAUAGAAAUUAAUUUAUAUGUGGUCUCAAAAUCUCUCUAAUAUCUUGUCAGAAACUGGUUUCUGAAGUCUUUUUAUUCUUUUUGCUCCUGACUCUCCUGUGGAACAGUAUUAAUGUUUAGACUUCCCUCUACAUUCCAUAGACAUUUAAUUAGUAAUUAGAAGCCUGUAUAUAAGUGUAAAGACUGUAUACGAAACGGAGAAUAAACAAUAAUGAAAAGAGUGCUAUGUGAAGAGGAGUAAUGGCAUCUCCUUCUGAUACCACUACUGAAACAAUGUAUUAAGAUUAAAAAAACAAAAACUGGCUGAGACUAGAGUUCCCACAGUCUGAAAAGCCAGCAGAGUCCGUCCCCGUACCUAGUA